UACGUAGGGGGCAAGCGUUGUCCGGAAUCAUUGGGCGUAAAGAGCGUGUAGGCGGCCAGAAAAGUCCGCUGUGAAAACUCGAGGCUCAACUUCGAGCUGUCGGUGGAAACUUUCUGGCUAGAGUCCGGAAGAGGAGAAUGGAAUUCCUGGUGUAGCGGUGAAAUGCGUAGAUAUCAGGAGGAACACCGGUGGCGAAGGCGGCUCUCUGGACGGUGACUGACGCUGAGACGCGAAAGCGUGGGGAGCAAACAGG
rnacentral:rRNA from 1 species